AUUGAACGCUGGCGGCAUGCCUUACACAUGCAAGUCGAACGGUAACAGGUCUUCGGAUGCUGACGAGUGGCGAACGGGUGAGUAAUACAUCGGAACGUGCCCGAGAGUGGGGGAUAACGAGGCGAAAGCUUUGCUAAUACCGCAUACGAUCUCAGGAUGAAUGCAGGGGACCGCAAGGCCUUGCGCUCACGGAGCGGCCGAUGGCAGAUUAGGGAGUUGGUGGGAUAAAGGCUUACCAAGCCGACGAUCUGUAGCUGGUCUGAGAGGACGACCAGCCACACUGGGACUGAGACACGGCCCAGACUCCUACGGGAGGCAGCAGUGGGGAAUUUUGGACAAUGGGCGCAAGCCUGAUCCAGCCAUGCCGCGUGCAGGAUGAAGGCCUUCGGGUUGUGAAGGACUUUUGUCGGGGAGGAAAUCCCCAGCGUUAAUACCGCUGGGGGAUGACAGUACCUGAAGAAUAAGCACCGGCUAACUACGUGCCAGCCGCCGCAGUAAGAC
rnacentral:rRNA from 1 species